ensembl:lncRNA
CUGCAGUCUGCUUUAUGGAGGAUGUUUAUCAUUCCACCCGAGAGGCAUGUUCGUCACUUGUAUAAUCAGUGGCCUUCAUAUUAACAACUAGAUCAAUAUGAAGUCGACAGGGGAAAGAAAAUGUACUCCAGCAGAAAGUAGUGCAGCUCUCUCUUUACCGUUUGAGAAUGUCAUUAUCCUUGCCAGAGGCUUUAUCAUGUUUGGAUAUAGAAGAAAAGAAUUUGGCCAACAACUAUAGUGCUCUGGGACUCUAAAUAGACUUCAUUGAUCCACAGGUAAGAUUUAAUUACAUAUUAAAUAGUUACCUUUGAUAGUGACCCUUGUUUAAAUCUGGGCUUCAGUUCAAUUGUGUCUGAAUUUAUAGAAACCAAUAGUUACUAUUAAGGUACCUGGCCUCCAGGUGCAAGCGGAAGCAGAAGGGCUUUAACCCCUGCAUGCUUUUUAAUAACUCUACGGGUUGUUUGAAAAGAAGACUGAAAAUGACCCGACUAAACAUUCUAAUGAGAUCUCGUUGAUUCUCGUUGAUCAGAGAAACAUGUCCAUUAAUUCUGUUUCUUGGUCUAUUACAUUGAUUUGAUCCACCCUUGUUGCCAUAUUUCUGUUGCUAUUUUAGCUGAUUAUACAGAAAGAUGAUCAUCCGUUUUUAAUCCUGUCCACAAAGCCAUCCACAGGCAUGAAGCCAAAUCUUUAGUUAAAUUUGAACAAAUUAGAAAUAUCAGCAGUAAUCUUAAACCAGUCCCAGAAAUAAGCUUUGCGAAGAGGAUUUUGGUGCAGUUAUAAAAAAUGGCAUAGAAUAUUAUCUUGUAACUGACACAGUGGAAGCUGCCACUCAGUGAGACACUUUUCAUUAAUUUACUUUAAAAUUAAAGCUUUAUGCAAAGUAAUUCACUGCAAUAUUUAAAACUAACUAUACUAGUGCAUUCCUAUCAGCCAAGUGCAAAGCCGAUAUCUCUUUCUGUGGGUUAAAUUAUGGAGCCUGAACCUCCAGUUUUCACUCCUAGCAGAAAAGAAGGGCGCCUCUUCCUCCAGAGAGUCAGUGUCUGUAAAUUAUUUCAAAGGUCGACUUCCACAGUGUGUUUGAAUUCACUCCAGAGGGCGAGCUAUGACUCAUGGUCAGGGAGUUAAAUAUAGUUGACCAAACUCAGGUUAGAAACGGUUCUGCAGGAUCUUUCUUAGAAUAUAACAAUAACUGUGUACUGUAUGAAUACCCUUUUAACGGCACAGUAUCCACUGUUUUUUUGUUGUUUCUGAAUACUCUUUGUUGAAUCCUAAAUGAGGCGUCAAAUUUUAAAUGUACUCAUAUUACUGGCGACCGAAAUGUUAUUUAAAUAGCAGUUUGUGAGUGAGUUCAUUAGAGCGUCUGCAUAAUACUGGACCGAGGCGCCUUUCACGCCUGUGUUGGGAACAGCCUCACGCGGGCACGACGAAGGGGUAACGUGUUGGUUAAUAGCUAUUGUGAAAUGAAAUCAUUGACCUCAAUAGAAUUAUUAAUAAUUGCUAAGAUAAGAUCAGAUAGAUCGCUAAGCGCCACCCUAAAAAAGGACUAAUAACCAAACUAAAAAUCAUGUCUCAUAAUUUAUAUUUACUCAUUUCUUUCUGAAGCAGCUAGAAAAUGGUUGGAGAGGCCUGAAUCCUUCAUCCUGAGGCCCGUCUGGAAAGUUGAUUUGGAGUGUUGUCUCAUCCUUACUCACGUUUAACGUCUUUAACCUCACACUGACCUGAGGUCUGUCCCAAAAGACUUGAGAGAUACUGUCUUUAACCUCACACUGACCAGAGUCAACCCGCAAAGAAAGUCUGAGAGAGGGAACUCACAGUAAACCCCGGGGGGGACCCCUGUGGUGUCCGUGGCUCGGCCAAUCAGAUCCCAGGGCUGUUUCCCCCAGAGAGAGAUCACACCUCGGUGUGAAGGCACAUUCCUUUUGGGGGUUUUGUGUCCUGCAGCAGAACACUGCAUUUGAAAGUCAGCCUUGGUCUUACACUGUGGUGGAGCCCAACAUCAGCCAUGGCAUGAAAAGAAGGCUGCUUCAGCCUGCUGGUGUCAAAGGUCAGAUUCUCUCCCAUCUGUGUUUUAGAUGGAGCAAUAAACCCAGGUAGAACUGGCGUGUAAAACUGAUGGUCUGAGAAUUUCGUAAGUUUAGACCAACGUCUUCUGGGGUGAAACAACUUUUCAGCCUUUUUAAGUUGCCAUACUUACAUUACGUAAUGUGUGACCUUCAGUGACUUCUACUCGCUGAGAUCUGCAUCAAUUUCAUUGCAACGCUCGGUGUAGGCGGCCUGUAAUUGACAUUAAAACGUUCGAGUUUCAUGCGGGAGACGAGUUUUGCUCCUUGCAAGAACAUUUAGAUCUGAUUUAUCAUGAUGGAAUAUUUUUUUGUUUUUGAAUAUGGACUCUUCUAAGCAGAAUCAAGUUUUUGAUGUGGUAUCUUUUCUUUCUUUUCAUACCAGAGAUGCUGAUUUACAUUUUUGUGUUUUCGUCAACUGAUCAAUAACUGACAACUGGCAAUAUUAUUGGAAAGCUGCCAUUCUUGGCUUACUGCAUAUCUCAUGGUUUAUUUUGACAUAUGGCUCUAUAGGACAAUAUUACGCAUUACAGUUUAAUGUUAAAAUCCAUUUUUUGGCUGUUCAAUUUCAAACUGUUGAGUAUUAAAAUAUAAACAUGCACGCUAACGCUAGAAUGAAAUUACACUUGAACCAUAAAUGCAUAGUAAUAAUGGGUGAAGGCCGCUGAAAGGCCGGAUUGCACAAACAACAUUUCAAGUCACAACACCAGCAGACAAACAUGUUGCAAAAAGAUGCAGCACUAUCUGGUCAAAUGCAGUUCAACAGGAAGCACCUGUUCCCCAUUCUAAGAAUAACGUGUCCAUACAUAGAACUGCGCCUACCGCUCAAAACAUUCUUUAUUAUUGUUAUUAUUAUUUUCUUGCACACAUCCUGUAGAACUCAUGAACAAUGGGAGGCGUGAUGACCCGGAGCCCAGAGGGAUGGACGUCCCUGUGCUCCAAUGGGGCUCUCCGAGGAUUCUAAGCAGGAGCCGCCUUCAUCUUAAUAACCAAUCAAAAAUGCUCUUUGAUACUAAAUAAUUCGAGCGCAUUUUGUAUUAAGUGCCUUUUUUCAUGUUGUUAAACUUCCUGAGGCCCGUGCACGUUAAACUGCAGGACAGAAUACUCUUGUUGCCAAUAAACUUUGUCAUAUUGCUUUGAUUUAAGUCUCCAGUGUCGUCCUAGUUUUCCUCGCACGACAAAACCAUUAUUAAAAAUGAUUGAUGACAAAAAUAUCAAAAGUAAUCAUUCUCAGCAAUAUUACAGUUGUGAUUAAACUUACAAUUACUUACCACAACUUAAUCUCAGGCCAAUAUCUGUGGUCUACACAUAAACAAGAUAAUGGCAUAUUUAUAUUAUUUCCACAUAAAUAUAAUACAAUAAAGUAAUGCAGCUUCUUGUUGUAAACUGGCACUGCACAGGUUUAUCUGUCAGUUAUAAAACGGCCUCAUUGGCCAGCGGACACUGUGCUUCGCACUGAAAAGCAGCCUUAACAAAAUAUGUAUGAUGGCUUAAUGUAAGACGUGAGCCGUGCAAUCUCUAGGCUCUGCAUGUUUGAUGUGAGCGUGAUGUUCGUCCUUAAUAAAUGAAUACAUGUUCAGUUAGUGGGGAAAAAAGGACAGAAAUACAGUUAUUUCAACACCAUUUCUUUCUUCUUAGAUUUCUGUAUACAACGUUAAUAAUUAACGCCAACCUACAAAUCAUUUACAUCGAUUUUUAAAAAUGUAUCAACAUGCAGAGGAAAAACGAGCAGAUUGCAGUGCUUGAAAGAAAGUUUCAACCACUAUCUUACAUAAUGUCUGCGUAUAAGGGCCCCGUAACAAACAUGUUUAACUGUAUAUUGCUAAAUAUUGGUCAGAGCAUAAUGAUUAAGUCCCUUUAAAGUGACCUUUCUGCUCCGUGACAUUGACAUGCAGGGUGAGCUGAUGCUCAGUCAGUCUGUAUUUAGACCUUUCCAAUCCACCCAGGACACACAAAGGGACACACAAAGGGACACACAAAGGGACACACAAAGGGACUGAGUGAAAAUCGGAUCUUUGUCAGGAAUGAAUUCUUAGGCGACUAAUUUAAAUGUUAGAAUCCAGCCCCAAAAGUUCAUAAUUUGCAUAAAAGAGCAAAUCUUUGGCCUGAAGGGAUCCUGAGCCUCAGUACCACGCCUGUCAAUCUAAGAUAGUGUGUUAAAACUCACCCAAAACAUUUCAAUUUAAAUGAAGACUUAAGACACAAUCGCUUUAAAUUAGUCUGAAGAAACCCGGCAGGGUUGUCCACCGGACGGCCUUUGAGAACUGACGCUGUUCAGCUAAUUUCCCAAAUGGCUUCAACAGCCGCCUCCCCGGUGGCAGAGGCUGCCUUUUUAAAUGGUUUUUGUUGUCCUCCUCAAGACCCAUUUAAGUUGUCAGCUAAAGAGCCAGUGUUGAACUCUCAAAGGGGGGAGGUGAUGAAGUUAGACAGACUAGUGCAAAAGAGCUGCAGAGUAGAACCGUAUUGCUCUGUGUGGAGGAUUCAUCUCACAACUUUAAUUUAAAUUGCAGGAAAGAAUAAAGUUGGCCACCUUGUGUUUAGACAAAGGCGUAUUUUACAACAAUCCUAAUAAAAUACCAUAAUCCUUGAAGUUGCACCCUUCAAUACAUUCUUAUUAUUAUAAGGAAACCGUGUAGAGGAGUUUCUCUCUACUGUGUUAUAGCGUUUUACGCUCAUUGUUCAGAUUUUAUAGCACUGAGGCAACAUACGUUUAGCUUGUUUUCAUAAAAUAGGUCAUUCCUGGCGUUGAGCCACCGUAAAUACUAAACCACCAAAAUAUGUACAAAGUUAGUGAGCCUGUUUAAUUAGUAACCCGUUCUUAAAAGUCUGAAAUCAGAAGGUUUUGAGGGUCUUAGUAAAAUUAACAGCAACAUAAUCAACAUGGUUGGUUUUAGUCUUUUCUUGACUAAAACUCUCAAAUCUAACUUCAUCGUUUAAAUGAGCCCUUUGAUACGACACGAGCUGAGGCGACGCUGAGCAGCCGUGUGUGGUUCUAAAGUCCUUCACACUCUGAAGACACGUGUUUCCAUCCAGAGGGGAUCAGUCAGAUGCUUUUGAUCAGCCCAACAGGCCUGAAAAGGAACAAGAUCUUUGACUUUCCUGUCGCCGAUGACCUUAAUGAGCUCAGGACGAUGACAAAGUCAUUCACACGGAGCGAAGGUCAAGGUCACCGCACUCAGUCCCUGCGUUGUUUUGGUCCUUUUUAAUAAGAAGGUCACAUUAUUACAUUAUUACCUUAUUGCUUUUAUAAUACGGUUACCAGCAAAACUAAAUAGUUGUAAGCUGUUGGGGGAGAAUUGUUGAGCCUCCCACCACAGUAGCCACCAAACGUUGUGUAUCUAAUUUCAGUAGUCUAGAGAGUCUCUGUACGUGCAUAGAGACAGCGUUGGGUCUCCUUGAAAGAUCUUCUUUCUUUGUUGUUGUAACAAACUCUUGAAUACUCGAUAUCUGACUGUUGCACUUAUACGAUUACACAUUCAGUCCAAUAAAGACACCAAAAGCUUCUAUAAAUAAGAAUGUGGUCUAAAGGCUUCACGUCAGUUUCAAAAUGAAAUAAUCUCUUCACAGUCACACCUGCUAAAAGUCCUUAAACCUGAGCCAUGAAAUACCAAGAGCAUUUGAGACGAGACGCUUCCAUAAAAUGAGUGUUGCUGAAAAAGUUGUUCUGAUUUCAUCCUCAGACGAAAUAUGGACAGAGGGUAAAUUUAAAAGUCGACCUCACUCAUCUCAGCUACGUUGCUUCACUUCUCUGAGCGUACUGAUGCCUGUAAAGUAAAAACUAAAUAGGUAUUCUUGUAACAAAAUAACACUAAAAUGAUUGAAAGCAUUUUUUCCGACAUGAGUCUUUGAAGGUUUGAAGUGAGGUAAAGUAGAACAAAGCCAAACCAAAGUGACUGCUGAGACAAUGUUGCCUGGAAAACAGAUGAGUUCAUGAAGAGUUUACUGGGCUGGAAUCACAUCUUCUUGAUUCUUUCUUGACCUUUUAAAAUAAGAAGGUUCCAUCUGACAUUUUGCUCUGAAAAUUUCAUAAUGUAUAAAGACGAGACAGAAGCAAUUAAAACAACAGCAAAUAAAAUAUAUGAUAGAAAUCUAACAGAGGACAGAUUUAAGACCUGGGGAAGAUUUCUGUUUUACACAAAAUACAAUUUAUGUACCGUUUGCAUGCAUGCUUCCUAUUGACAUGGAACUUUAUUUUUCUUAAGCAAUUUCUUCAUCUUCAUUCGUUUGUUUUUUCUUAAUCUCCUUCAUACAAUUUAAUUACUAAUUUAUUUAAUUACAUGUUUGGCAAACAAGGGAAGACAUGGGCAAUUUGUAACGCUCCUGUAAAUACAUUUUUUUUUAAAGCAGCAUAUGACCAGCAUGAAAUCUGUGUCUGACAAAGUGAAGUGAAUCAUUUCUCAUUCAAAACUGCUAUGUGGAAUCAGCAGGUUCGCCAAGCAUCUGCAAUCCAAUCCGGGAACAAUGAAACCAUAGAAGUAUUUUUUUUUCGACAAGCAGAGUAAAGCAGCAGCCGCAGGUGCUCUAGUUUUAAAAUCAAUCGCAGGAAAAAUGAGACGCGGAUGAGAAAUUGGAAAACAGAGCGUCGCCGGCCCUCGUUGGUUUGCGUUUCAUGCAUCUCUGAGAGGAUUGUCGAUUGACUGCGAAGUGAUCGUUUGGCAAGUAAAUCCCAAAUCAAAUGAUCGGCAGCGGCGGAGAGAGGGCCAGUAGGCAGGUCGCGUCACGUCGGGACCGUCCUGUGUGAGACGUGUGCGCUCACAGUCGAUUCAACAACUUGCUUUUCUUUAACUGCUUUGAACUGAACGCAAAGAAAAUGCUGCACUUUUCUGCAGCGGAGCGUUGAUGACGUGCCAACGUUGUGUAAAUCUGCAGAAACUGAGUGGAAGUAAGAAUGUGUACAUCGAAGGAGACAUUCCCGUUUCGCUGAAGUGUUGCAGUCCUUCCGUUCUCACUUGGCAAGUUGUGACAGCCGUUGUGUUCGUUGUGAUUACAAGCUGUUACAAUCAGUCUGCUGUGUUUCCCACUGAAUCCUGAUGCAGAUUCACAUUGUCAUUUUCUGCAUCUUGAGGAUUUCUGCUGCCAAACUGUAUAUGGCGCUCGCUGCCACUGCUAUCUUUCAUUGGGCUGCAGGUUGUCCGAGGGCCUCCAUUAGUGGAUCGUGCCUGCGUUUACUUUGCUUCUGUCACAUGCAAUGUGGGGGAUGCAACAUUCCGCACGCUCUUGUCCCUCCGCAUGCUGGAUAAAUUACUCACGAGCGAUCACAUUCCAGCAGUGUAAUUAUCAUUGUCCGGCAACCCAUCAGUUUCUUAGCAACGUCUAUUGUCUGCUUCCACAACAGCACUAUUUUCCAUCUAGGUGAAAGCAGACAGCUUGCCGCUCGGAUUCCUGAAAUAACGGGAUCAGGGUUGUCCUAAAUACAAAUGCACUCACUGCACCUCAUAAUCAAAGUUACUUGUAGCUCCUGAUGCAAAGUCCACACACGUUUGUUUCUGUUCUGCUCUUUUGGAAAACAUACACUGAUGAAAAAUCUCUGGACUGCAUUCGUCCAUUAUUCACCCCCUGCUUUGGAGCUGUAUGUCAGCACGGAUGGCAGCCGACCGCCCCGGGCCACUCGCUGAGGGAGUCAGCCUGGGACUUAGUCAGCGGCUCAGAUGGCCGCGUGGAAGGCCGCCAAAACGGACAGGAGGGAGGUUCAGGGAACGGAGCUGCCACGCGGCCGAGGUUUACUCUGGGACGGCUCCACUUAGCAAGUUAGCUUGUGGCCUCUUAGUAGGUCACAGGUAGUCACAGGAAUCAAUCAAUCAAUGUAUUUUCUGAGUCGCUAUUUUUACACACCUGUGCAAUAUAUUUGCAUAGGGGGAAAAAUAUGACGUGUUAAAAAUAAGUGUUUAUUUUACUGCCUACUAUGUAACUGAUUAAUGUACCUGACAGCAGAUUAACUGGCCUGCUGAUGUACACGUACUAAUACAUCAUUAUUGGAUUCUUCUAACCUUCAAACACGACGUACUUGUACCUGUAAAAGACUUUUUCUCUUACAGUCUAAAAACUCUCCACAAAUGAUCUUAAGUAUGAAAGUUGUAACAACCGGUGGUUUCUGCUUCAUCAUUUAUCCUUCCUGCAGUCCGUGACCGUCUUGGCCGCCCGGCAGGGAGGCGGUGAACGGGCGGCGUUGUGGUCUAAAUUUACCAGUUUGCAAUCUGUCUCCGGAGGACGCCGUUUAUCGCACCCAGUGGCUUUGACGCGGCUGUCGCAGCAUGGACCCGUGUCACAGUGAAGACCCAGAUGGACAGAAGCCACUUUCCUCCGUCCAUCUAUAAUCGCUCAGAACAAGCGUUCGAACAGGAGACGACGACUCACUCGACACACGGUCUUCUUUUUCUGCUCCUCUUUGACGUCGGAUAUUAAAGCUGACGGUCUGCAGUCUUCUUUUCUUAAUGGGAACUGAGCUUUUAUUAACAUUUAAAGUCCCUCACUCUGACAAACAUGUGUGAUGCCAAACUAUUCAUCUCUUCAACGUAUGUAUAAGAUGUUGACUGAUAUUCUGAGAAGUUGUGUUUGCGCAGGACCGGGAGGGAAGAAGACUGAUUCAGGCCAACACCAAUGUGGCUCAAACUGAAAUUUGGUUUUCAAAGGCUUGUGUUCGAUUCUCAAUUUAAAAUUUAAAUGUAAUCUGUAUCUGCAAACAAUUGCCGUUGUCACCGCCCCGCUCAAGGACCGCCACAACAACACGGAGACAAAUGAGCCGCCUGCU